rnacentral:rRNA from 1 species
UACCAGACUCCUACGGGAGGCAGCAGUGGGGGAUAUUGCACAAUGGGCGCAAGCCUGAUGCAGCGACGCCGCGUGAGCGAAGAAGUAUUUCGGUAUGUAAAGCUCUAUCAGCAGGGAAGAAAAUGACGGUACCUGACUAAGAAGCCCCGGCUAACUACGUGCCAGCAGCCGCGGUAAUACGUAGGGGGCAAGCGUUAUCCGGAAUCACUGGGUGUAAAGGGAGCGUAGACGGCUGUGCAAGCCUGAAGUGAAAGGCGGGGGCCCAACCCCUGGACUGCUUUGGGAACUGUACGGCUGGAGUGCAGGAGAGGUAAGUGGAAUUCCUAGUGUAGCGGUGAAAUGCGUAGAUAUUAGGAGGAAUACCAGUGGCGAAGGCGGCUUACUGGACGGUAACUGACGUUGAGGCUCGAAAGCGUGGGGAGCAAACAGGAUUAGAUACCCCUGUA